rnacentral:rRNA from 1 species
AUUGAACGCUGGCGGCAUGCCUUACACAUGCAAGUCGAACGGCAGCACGGGAGCAAUCCUGGUGGCGAGUGGCGAACGGGUGAGUAAAGUAUCGGAACGUGCCCAGUCGUGGGGGAUAACGUAGCGAAAGUUACGCUAAUACCGCAUACGAUCUAUGGAUGAAAGCGGGGGAUCGCAAGACCUCGCGCGAUUGGAGCGGCCGAUAUCAGAUUAGGUAGUUGGGGGGGUAAAGGCUCACCAAGCGGACGAUCUGUAGCUGGUCUGAGAGGACGACAGCCACACUGGGACUGAGACACGGCCCAGACUCCUACGGGAGGCAGCAGUGGGGAAUUUUGGACAAUGGGCGAAAGCCUGAUCCAGCCAUGCCGCGUGCAGGAUGAAGGCCUUCGGGUUGUAAACUGCUUUUGUACGGAACGAAAAGGUUUGGCCUAAUAAGCUGAGCUCAUGACGGUACCGUAAGAAUAAGCACCGGCUAACUACGUGCCAGCCGCCGCCGUAAAAC